rnacentral:rRNA from 1 species
GAUGAACGCUGGCGGCGUGCCUAAUACAUGCCAGUCGAGCGAACAGACGAGGAGCUUGCUCCUCUGACGUUAGCGGCGGACGGGUGAGUAACACGUGGAUAACCUACCUAUAAGACUGGGAUAACUUCGGGAAACCGGAGCUAAUACCGGAUAAUAUAUUGAACCGCAUGGUUCAAUAGUGAAAGACGGUUUUGCUGUCACUUAUAGAUGGAUCCGCGCCGCAUUAGCUAGUUGGUAAGGUAACGGCUUACCAAGGCAACGAUGCGUAGCCGACCUGAGAGGGUGAUCGGCCACACUGGAACUGAGACACGGUCCAGACUCCUACGGGAGGCAGCAGUAGGGAAUCUUCCGCAAUGGGCGAAAGCCUGACGGAGCAACGCCGCGUGAGUGAUGAAGGUCUUCGGAUCGUAAAACUCCGUUAUUAGGGAAGAACAAAUGUGUAAGUAACUAUGCACGUCUUGACGGUACCUAAUCAGAAAGCCACGGCUAACUACGUG